UCCGAGUUGACCCCGGCAGUCUCCUAUGAGUCCCCACCAUCACGUGCUGGCAACAUAGAACGAGGGUUGCGCUCGUUGCGGGACUUAACCCAACAUCUCACGACACGAGCUGACGACAACCAUGCACCACCUGUGAACCAGCCCCAAAGGGGAAACCACAUUUCUGCGGCGGUCUGGCCCAUGUCAAGCCUUGGUAAGGUGGGGAUGACGUCUCGCAACUAACCA
rnacentral:misc_RNA from 1 species